UGCGGACGACGCGGGCGCGUCCCCGGCGCUGCUGGAGGCCAUCGUGGUGCGGCUGGCGGAGUGCGUGGGCCCCGAGGACCUCAAGGGUGUCGCCCCCCCUGUGCUGUCACCCCCCCUGGGCCCCUGUGCCCUGGGCCCUAUGUACUGGUGCUCCGGCCCCGAGCCCGCCCGGCGCUGCCAGGCCCUGCAGCACUGCCAGGAGCACGUCUGGCUGUAGGAGGGCUCUGGGGGCCCCCUCAGCACUUCCCAAUAAAGCUUGGAUGCAGUUCUG